ensembl:lncRNA
AAAUCUGGAUGGAAUGUUAGCAAAUGAUUCUAAGGGAGCAAUCCCACACUGGGAAUUGUGCCAGAUGAUUGUCUAGUGUUCUCCAUCUGUUCCACCCCUCGUAAUGUAUUUCUCACUGACUGGUUUCAUUGACUCCCAGUAUAAGCUGAAGGAACGGCACGGAGGUGGGUGUAUUUGUAAAAAUGUUCCUGUGCUUUGUCAUAGGCCAUUUCUAUUCUUCAGUGCUACUUUUUAUUUCAUUCUGUCAUGAAAUGAUAUGUCAAUGUGUCAUGAUUUUAUGAUUUUUGGUUACUGGCAUUCCACAUCAUAACAUCAUGUAGUGCACUGGGAGUUAAAGAGUUAAUGCUCCAGUUCUGGGCACCUGUCCGGAAGAGAAGAAGAACUACAUUCCCCAGAGGACUGCUGUUUUGUUAUCAUUCCUGCCUGGGGGAACGCAUUUAAGGCUUCAGUAUGUUACUUGAUGUCCCUCUUUUUGAUCGUCAGGCUCUCUCGCUGCUGCUCGUCCUGACUGCAUACCAUUCUUGAAGAAGAUAUGGCUUGCUGUCACUUGCAACUGUGCUUGUCAUUUUAAUUUUUCAGUGCAAAGAAAGAAAGAAGUCAUCACACAGCAGAGCAGCAGUCUCCCAUCCAAACUGUCUGCCUGAUCACUGUUAAAGUUCAGUUGUAAUGGGAAAGACACCCCUCUCUCUACUUCAUUUUGACAUUCACAUCGCACACCUUCAUGCAGUCUGCCUGGUGAUAGCUCUUCAACAGCAGUCAGAAAGCAAGAAAACAUUUCUGUGCCUUCAGGAUACAGUCAGUUUUUAAUACUGCUGUCUUUUAAUUCUGGCCUAUUACAUGCUCCCUAAAUCUCAGACUUAACUUUGCCCAGUAGAAAUGUUCCGAACAUAUUUAUCAUGAUCUCAGUUUGAUGUAAUCCCUGAUUUAUAUGUUUGUGUUCAGACUUCUCUCAAUUCUCUGCCUAUUGGCUCCCAUCUGUCAUACUGCAACUCUGCUCUGGAUUCCCCCCAAAAUAUAACACUGUUAGCAUUUUCUACUGAAAAUAAAAUGCCGCCUUCUUCAAUCUCUCUCUCUCUCUCUCUCUUUUUUUUUUUUUUUGUUUAAUCUGAAAGGCAUCUAAUAGCUACCUUACAGAAAAUUUGAGUGCAAUGCUCUUAUCUGAUUGUGCCAGUCAUCCAGUCAUCAGUUAGAGACUUCCUUCUCACUUCAUCUAAUAUUGAGGGCUUUUUUGUUUUUUUUUUCUUUUUUUUUUUGCUUGUUUGUUUCCUCCAUCUGGACUGGUAUAUUGCCUUUGUUUUACAUUUCAGAGCUUUCUUGCAGUUUAUUUACUUGAAGUAGCAUGCCGUGGCUGUGCAUUUCUACUGUUUCCCCUGAGGAAAAAGUUAAGUCUGUGUAGCAGUGUUUUCAAUUUUUUCAGUUUGCCUAGGUUGUAUUAAAUGCAUGGGAUAUUACUUGGUAUCACUGUUAGAUAAAGGGAGCAAGAGUUCUAUGAUACUGUUGGAGUCCAUCUGCUUCCUGCACAGAGGAUUGUGAUGACUACAGAUGUUCUGAAUGCUGGGUAGCAGAGGAUCUCCCUCUCUGUAGAAGACUGGACUUUUGUUUGGCAUUGAAUCCAGCCCUGGAUUGUUUCCCAAAAUAAAACAAUCCGUAUAUCUUUGAAGAAGAGGGAAACUCAGGUGUCCACUGCCUUUCAACCAUCAUUUUACAGUAUUCUACUUGGCCUUUGGCUGCUGCUUCUAAAGCCAGCAGACCAGAAGAUCCUGUUUUGUAUAUUGACCUCAUGAGGAUGUCUUGGACGACUUUAUAUAUCUAGAAUAUAUCAGAUGUUUGCCACACCUGAGAUCCCUAUGAAUGUGUCUAAUAAGGGAAAAGUUACUCAGGCUAUUUAGGCUUCUUCUUUCCUCAGUUAUCCAAUACAGAACUGAGGACAAUUUUCUGAGAUUUUCUUGUACAAAAUCAAAAAGAUAUUGUUUGUAAUACACUAUUACUGCUUAAUAUAAAUAAACUAAUUCAUUGUAUUCUCUUCUGCGUACAUCUUGUAAGAAUUUAUAAUAGAUUUCCUUUUUUUUCUCUCUCUCUAUUUGUUUGCUUUCCUACUGUUUGCUGACGGAUGAAGUUCUGUUUAGAGUCUGAUUUUAUGAAAAUUUGUACUUUUUACAGCAAAGACUAAGUAUGGUCUACUGCUUCUAUUUGACUGCAGAGCUCUGAUGGCACACAGUAAAUAGUAUUUUCUUAUAAUUUCUGAUCUAGUAUGAGGUAGAAAAUUGCAGGGUUUUAUUUAUUUGGCAAUGCAUUAGCUGUUUCCACAAAUCCAGCUGGAAUGGAUAAAAUGAGUGCAUAAAAACUGUCAGAUAGUCAUUUUGGAUAACAAAGCAAAACAGAAAUAGUUUUGUGUGAAAAUGAGGCAGCCAUACUGGACAAUAUAAGCAAAAUAGAGGGAACUGAACACAAGACUCUCAUACUUAAUCACUUGUUAGAAUUAGCAAAGCAACAACUAUUUGCAACAGGAAGCAAAACUGCAUAAUCAACAAAGUUGGACACAUUUCAGUGAAAAUCAAAGCAAAAGCCAAUUUCUGAAAACACUGUGCAAGUCCAUAAAGUCAUAUUCAUGUAGUUCAGAAAACAUGUUUGGAUUUGUCAUGGGUUCAAAACAAUGCAAAAUUAAGUGUUUUUGUAUAUUUUACAAGUACUUUACUCUCUUCUGAAAAUUGGAACAUAAUGUUACUUUAUCCUAAGCCUAUCCCAGCUCAGUAUGUGCAUAUAGUGCUUCAGGACAAUCUAAUACAUUCACUGGUAUUUGCUCGCUGCUGUAGCCAAAGGUCUCAGUACAUCUUGAAGGGAUCAUGACACAUAGGGGACUUUGUUGGACAGACCUUCUGCAAAGGAAGUUUAUUUGGGGGAAAGUAUGCACAAAUUUUUGAAACUCUCAGAGUAAAAUCUAGCAGACAGGUUUUGUAACUCAUUAGGAGAACAUUUAUAAGGCUUUAUCAGUAAGAACUGAAUAAAAAUUGAAUAAAAGACAAGUUUUUCUUGACAUUGCAUUGUUUCUUGAGUUUAUU